CUACGGGUGGCAGCAGUGGGGAAUAUUGGGCAAUGGGCGCAAGCCUGACCCAGCAACGCCGCGUGAGGGAAGAAGGUUUUCGGAUUGUAAACCUCUGUCCUUGGGGACAAAGAAGUGACGGUACCCAAGGAGGAAGCUCCGGCUAACUACGUGCCAGCAGCCGCGGUAAUACGUAGGGAGCAAGCGUUGUCCGGAAUUACUGGGCGUAAAGGGUGCGUAGGCGGCAUAUUAAGUCAGGUGUGAAAUACUCGGGCUCAACCCGGGGGCUGCAUUUGAAACUGAUAUGCUUGAGUGUGAGAGAGGAAAGUGGAAUUCCUAUUGUAGCUGUGGAAUGCGUAGAUAUUAGGAGGACCACCAGGGGCGAAGGCGACUUUCGGGCUCAUAACUGACGCUGAGGCACGAAAGCGUGGGGAGCAAACAGGAUUAGAUACCCGAGUAGUC
rnacentral:rRNA from 1 species